GGGGCUUAUGUUAGUCAGAAUUGACUAUUCUUCAUUUGCAUUGAAGAGAGGCGAAUAAACGCUAGCCUUA
rnacentral:tRNA from 1 species